AUUGAACGCUGGCGGCAUGCCUUACACAUGCAAAUCGAACGGUAACGGGCCUUCGGGUGCCGACGAGUGGCGAACGGGUGAGUAAUACAUCGGAACGUGCCCGAUCGUGGGGGAUAACGAGGCGAAAGCUUUGCUAAUACCGCAUACGAUCUACGGAUGAAAGCAGGGGACCGCAAGGCCUUGCGCGGACGGAGCGGCCGAUGGCAGAUUAGGUAGUUGGUGGGAUAAAAGCUUACCAAGCCGACGAUCUGUAGCUGGUCUGAGAGGAUGAUCAGCCACACUGGGACUGAGACACGGCCCAGACUCCUACGGGAGGCAGCAGUGGGGAAUUUUGGACAAUGGGCGCAAGCCUGAUCCAGCCAUGCCGCGUGCAGGAUGAAGGCCUUCGGGUUGUAAACUGAUUUUGUACGGAACGAAAAGCCUUCUUUUAAUACAGGAGGGUCAUGACGGUACCGUAAGAAUAAGCACCUGCUAACUACGUG
rnacentral:rRNA from 1 species